CCGAAUCCUAACCACUAGACAACCAGGGACGAAAACCGAGAAAUUGGUGGCCUCUUCGCUGGCCAUGCUGGCCCCUGUCUACCACCAAAAGCUCCUACGAAAGGCACGUGAGCAUCAGCACUGGAAAGUGGAGCAAUAAGAUGGUGGCUUGGUCUGAUGAAUCAUGUUUUCUUUUACAUCAUGUAUGGCUUAGGGUUAGGGUUAGAAAAGGCUUGAAAAGACGCUUGGCCAAGGAGUUGCACUUAAGCCUUGUCUUAUGCUCCAUUCCGGUUAAGGCUUGUGAAGACGGUUGGCACUUUGGAAAUGAUCAAAACAUAAGUGAGCCAAGGAAUUGCACUUAAGCCUUGUCUCAUGCUCCAUUCCCGUGAUGGGCAAGAGAACAUGGCACUGGACUUGAGCUGCACUGGGGUUUUACCUGUGCAAAUUGAAGCCUGCUAUGAACCUGUGUCUUAGUGCAGAGAAAACGCUGUUCAGAUGAGCAAGCAAGCGCCUUGGCAUUAAUCAAACAAGCUCGUGCCGAACAAAUCUUCCAUCCUAGGAAAUUGCUUUGACGUAAAGCAAGUCAUCCGAAUGUGUACUUUUAAACGCUCUGUUUACUUAAUUGAAGCAAAUGCACUGAAGAGGUGCAGAAAGAUGAGAAUAUAAACAUGGACAACACGUUUAUAGGCUCCAGAAAAAAAUAGUCUAGCGUUUCCU
ensembl:lncRNA